rnacentral:rRNA from 1 species
GACGAACGCUGGCGGCGUGCUUAACACAUGCAAGUCGAACGGAAAGGCCCUGCUUGCAGGGUCCUCGAGUGGCGAACGGGUGAGUAACACGUGGGUGAUCUGCCCUGCACUUCGGGAUAAGCCUGGGCAACUGGGUCUAAUACCGGAUAGGAGCCAUUUUUAGUGUGAUGGUUGGAAAGUUUUUUCGGUGUAGGAUGAGCUCGCGGCCUAUCAGCUUGUUGGUGGGGUAAUGGCCUACCAAGGCGGCGACGGGUAGCCGGCCUGUGAGGGUGGACGGCCAUAUUGGGACUGAGAUGCGGCCCAGAUGCCGACGGGAGGAAGCAGGGGGGAAGAUUGCUCAAGGGGCGCAAGGCUGAUGCAGCGACGCUGCGGGGGGGAGGGCGGCCUUCGGGUUGAAAACUCGUUUCGCGAGGGACGAAGCUUGUUGUGACGGUACCUAGAGAAGAAGCACCGGCUAACUACGUG